rnacentral:lncRNA from 1 species
AAAUAAACAGACUCCGAGGUUCAAGUAUGUGUGGCAUCUUGCUUUUCCUUCACGAGCAGUGCAAACAAAUGUAGCAGCCUUCCUUCCACGACUUCUGGGCUUCUGCAGGCAUUGCCAAUUGAUAAUGUAGUAGUAAUAUUAACACAUGCCUGUUCAAAAAUGUGAUACAUACUUUUGGGUCUUUGAGAUUAGUUCCUCUGAAGUGCUUUUUCUUCGGCUGCCUGACAAGGUUUCUGGCUCCACUUCAGUCUGGUAAGAAGACAGCUGCUCAACUUCUGACACAAAUGAAGAAAAUUGAUGGCGGCUGAGUCUGGUACGGGGACGGCUCAAAGCACACAGGCUCCAGAGGGGCUGCUCUGACGGGACGAGUGUCUGCAGGAGGAACUGCCGAGCCCUGCAAAGCCUGCCUAGCCCACCUGUGUCCCGAGGGCUCUGAAUGUUCAAAAGGCUCAAGGAAGGCCGGUGUUCUGCAGCAUCCUUUGGUGGUGCCGUCUGGUGGAGAAGGAGCUCGGGACAACUGCAAGAACCGACCCCUGUGAGCUUUCUGCCCGUGAUAACCCCAGUCCUUUAUUUGGACACUGAGAAGGAUCCACCAUCACUACCACAUGGAAGCUG